AUGCGCCCAAGGUCAACUGCUACCGACUCUUGUACGUCUCGGCUAGUGUUGCUUAGCUCUUCACUCCCAAACGCCGCAAACUGGCCUCAUCGCCGGGACUAGUACCUGGCAAGUUUUCCUGAAGCUUAUCGGAACGUUUAGUUCUAUUGCGUCCUGCCGAAAGUCUGAACGGGAGUCGCCGAAAGUACUGUAGCUUGCCGGAAAUCCUCGCCGGAAAAAUAUGGCACCUGUCCAAGAAAACAGAACACACCCACACACACUUACAAAAAGCAGAAAAGAGAAUAGGAAGAAAAGAGCAGGGAUCGCCGGAGGAGAAUUGAUAAACAAAAGAAAAGGAAGAUUCAAGUGUCGCCUCAGUCUGCAACUAUCGGAAAGAAAAUGUUAACUGGGAUACAUUCAAGUUGAAUUGAUAAGGAAAAUUACAGCUAGUUAACUAUCGAUAAUUUAAAAGUUGGUAGAGACUUCCAACAGUAAGUAGCAUGGAAAUAGCUAAGCAAUAUUUCAAGUAAUAAACACAAAAUUAGAUAUUUUAAAAGGGAUAGAAAGCUGAAUAAAUCUGUGACCACCGCUAAUUGACAAAAUAGCAACUGCUUUACCUAUACCUCAACCCGUAGGGUUUUUACGUCACGUGCUCAAGUCUACCACUUGAUUCUACUUACUCCAAUGAAUCAAAAAUAAUUUGUAACAGUUGAAAGAGGGAUGAAGAAGAGAAGAGAAAGAGAAUAUUGGGGGGAAAAGCAAGAAUUCAAAAUAAUAAUAAUAAUAAUAAUAAUAAUAAUAAUAAUAAUUGGAGAAUCGGGGAAGUCGCUGGAGAUGGGCGUGUCCGGCGGUAGCAGCGUCGCCGGCGGGGGCGGGAGGGGCCGACGCUGGGGUGGGUGGGGGUAGGGGAGCUGACCCUUUAAAGCUAGUGUAGAGAGAGAGGAGAGAGAGAAGGAAAACUGACCGUUUCCGUAGUCACCGGAGGAGCAGGGUGACGCCGGGAAGGGGAGGUCUGUUACGCCACUAUGUUGAUCCAAAUUACUAAGUGCACAUGUUAUGGUUAUUGUCGAGACCCCUGAAGUUUCUUGGUUGAAGUCAGCUCAUCUUUAACUAGAAAAAAGGGAUGUGCGCAACUGUGUUCGUUUGGCAGUUAUUAUUGAGGGUUGGCCCUUUGCUAGAUAUUUUAUUGUUGGUUCCUAGGACAUGCUUACUGGAUUUACCGAAAGAUUAGGUAGUGGUAUCAUCUUCUUGGUUCCAGAAUAAAAUUUAAGGAAUUCGCUACUGUAUUUUUGUUUGCAUGUUGCUCAUGAUGUUUGGCUCUAUGUUAGAGGAUCAUGUGCCAAUUAUUUUGGUUUUUCCAUCCGUAUUUCUGAUGUUGGCCUUGCAAUUGAGGAUGCACAUACUCCUUUUGCCACGGAAUUUGCUUCUGAUGCGCGAAAGCAUGUCCCAUUUGCUAAAGAAGAGUUUUCCAUAAAUAAAGAAAUGGUCCAGGAUAUUACAUUGCAUUAUCUUGAUACUGCAAAUGAUCUGCCACAAGGAGAAAAAGAUAUAUUGUCUCUUAUC
rnacentral:lncRNA from 1 species